UUCAAGUUUCCUCUUACACAUUAACCUACGAUUUACGUCUUUUCCUUUCUUUCCUUUUCUCUUUUUGUUUUCUUUUCUUUUUCAAGCAACCGUCGUAGUAGUAAACUAAUAAGACUAAUAAGUAUAGAAGUAAGAAAGUUGUACAAGCGAAGUGUCCAAAGCUAAGCACAUUCGGCGCUAAGCUAUUCGGUGCGAGCAACAAGGAAUGACGGUGUUCGCGAGGAGAGCGUGAAAAUAGACGCUCAAUGCCUCAUAGUCGCAAGAGAGAGAGACCGUAAGCGCGACACGCCUGCCAACGCCUGUGCGCCCAGCUUGACUGUUAUGAACAGCUAUAAUAACAGUGCUCCGCUCGCCUUCACCAAGGAGUGGCCCUCCUCAUUAAUGGAACACCCGCGAGACUAUGAAUCGUCAUGGUUUCCCUGCUUCGAGUGAACGAAACCCCAGGGCAUCUGCGAAAUGCGAAUGAAUACGAGUACCUAGACGUUGGCGGUGCGAGUGAGGGCGUGCUGACGUGAGACGCCAUGACGCUGAGUGCGUUCCAAAAAUACGACGGCACUUUGGCACGGCAUACUCUGCGCCCACUGAGUUUAGCGGUUGUUUACAUCGAUAAAGAAGCUGUUUCAAGUGCCAUUCCGGGCCAUUAGUGACCUCCUACAUUAUCUAGAAAUCCAACGGAAUCUCGGGAUAUCCUGUGAAAACUGGAUAAGCUAACACGUCUCUUUCUUCAUCAUUAUAUCUCAAUAAAGAUGCUAAGAGUUA